CCUACGGGUGGCAGCAGUGAGGAAUAUUGGUCAAUGGACGAGAGUCUGAACCAGCCAAGUAGCGUGAAGGAUGACUGCCCUAUGGGUUGUAAACUUCUUUUAUAUGGGAAUAAAAUGUUCCACGUGUGGGAUUUUGUAUGUACCAUAUGAAUAAGGAUCGGCUAACUCCGUGCCAGCAGCCGCGUUAAUACGGAGGAUCCGAGCGUUAUCCGGAUUUAUUGGGGUUAAAGGGAGCGUAGGUGGAUUGUUAAGUCAGUUGUGAAAGUUUGCGGCUCAACCGUAAAAUUGCAGUUGAAACUGGCAGUCUGGAGUACAGUAGAGGUGGGCGGAAUUCGUGGUGUAGCGGUGAAAUGCUUAGAUAUCACGAAGAACUCCGAUUGCGAAGGCAGCUCACUGGACUGCAACUGACACUGAGGCUCGAAAGUGUGGGUAUCAAACAGGAUUAGAUACCCCAGUAGUC
rnacentral:rRNA from 1 species